rnacentral:rRNA from 1 species
GAAUGCUGACAUAAGUAACGAUAAAGCGGGUGAAAAGCCCGCUCGCCGGAAGACCAAGGGUUCCUGUCCAACGUUAAUCGGGGCAGGGUGAGUCGACCCCUAAGGCGAGGCCGAAAGGCGUAGUCGAUGGGAAACGGGUUAAUAUUCCCGUACUUGGUGUUACUGCGAAGGGGGGACGGAGAAGGCUAUGUUGGCCGGGCGACGGUUGUCCCGGUUUAAGCGUGUAGGCUGGUUUUCCAGGCAAAUCCGGAAAAUCAAGGCUGAGGCGUGACGACGAGGCACUACGGUGCUGAAGCAACAAAUGCCCUGCUUCCAGGAAAAGCCUCUAAGCAUCAGGUAACAUCAAAUCGUACCCCAAACCGACACAGGUGGUCAGGUAGAGAAUACCAAGGCGCUUGAGAGAACUCGGGUGAAGGAACUAGGCAAAAUGGUGCCGUAACUUCGGGAGAAGGCACGCUGACACGUAGGUGAAGUGAUUUACUCACGGAGCUGAAGUCAGUCGAAGAUACCAGCUGGCUGCAACUGUUUAUUAAAAACACAGCACUGUGCAAACACGAAAGUGGACGUAUACGGUGUGACGCCUGCCCGGUGCCGGAAGGUUAAUUGAUGGGGUCAGCGCAAGCGAAGCUCCUGAUCGAAGCCCCGGUAAACGGCGGCCGUAACUAUAACGGUCCUAAGGUAGCGAAAUUCCUUGUCGGGUAAGUUCCGACCUGCACGAAUGGCGUAAUGAUGGCCAGGCUGUCUCCACCCGAGACUCAGUGAAAUUGAACUCGCUGUGAAGAUGCAGUGUACCCGCGGCAAGACGGAAAGACCCCGUGAACCUUUACUAUAGCUUGACACUGAACAUUGAGCCUUGAUGUGUAGGAUAGGUGGGAGGCUUUGAAGUGUGGACGCCAGUCUGCAUGGAGCCGACCUUGAAAUACCACCCUUUAAUGUUUGAUGUUCUAACGUGGACCCGUAAUCCGGGUUGCGGACAGUGUCUGGUGGGUAGUUUGACUGGGGCGGUCUCCUCCUAAAGAGUAACGGAGGAGCACGAAGGUUGGCUAAUCCUGGUCGGACAUCAGGAGGUUAGUGCAAUGGCAUAAGCCAGCUUGACUGCGAGCGUGACGGCGCGAGCAGGUGCGAAAGCAGGUCAUAGUGAUCCGGUGGUUCUGAAUGGAAGGGCCAUCGCUCAACGGAUAAAAGGUACUCCGGGGAUAACAGGCUGAUACCGCCCAAGAGUUCAUAUCGACGGCGGUGUUUGGCACCUCGAUGUCGGCUCAUCACAUCCUGGGGCUGAAGUAGGUCCCAAGGGUAUGGCUGUUCGCCAUUUAAAGUGGUACGCGAGCUGGGUUUAGAACGUCGUGAGACAGUUCGGUCCCUAUCUGCCGUGGGCGCUGGAGAACUGAGGGGGGCUGCUCCUAGUACGAGAGGACCGGAGUGGACGCAUCACUGGUGUUCGGGUUGUCAUGCCAAUGGCACUGCCCGGUAGCUAAAUGCGGAAGAGAUAAGUGCUGAAAGCAUCUAAGCACGAAACUUGCCCCGAGAUG